rnacentral:lncRNA from 1 species
CUAUUCCUCCCCUCUCCCCCCACCCCAUGACAGGCCCUGGUGUGUGAUGUUCCCCAUCCUGUGUCCAAGUCUUCUCAUUGUUCAGUUCCCACCUAUGAGUGAGAACAUGUGGUGUUUGGUUUUCUGUCCUUGCAACAGUUUGCUCAGAAUGAUGGUUUCCAGCUUCAUCCAUGUCCCUACAAAGGACAUGAACUCAUCAUUUUUUAUGCUGCAUAGUAUUCCAUGCAGUAUGUCCCGGAGAAAGUGUCAGAGCCUUUACGUGGACCUUCUCAUGAAAAAGGAAACAGAAUAGUCAAUGGAAAAGGAAAAGGUGAGAACCGUAUUUUAUUUAAAAAGUCAUUUGAUG